CCCUUAGAUGUCCUGGGCUGCACGCGCGCUACACUGAUGUGUCCAGUAAGCACCUAACCUCUUCCGAAAGGAACGGGUAACCUUUGCAAAGCACAUCGUGAUGGGGAUAGAUUAUUGCAAUUAUUAGUCUUGAACGAGGAAUUCCUAGUAAGCACAAGUCAUCAGCUUGUGUUGAUUACGUCCCUGCCCUUUGUACACACCGCCCGUUGCUACUACCGAUUGAACGGUUUAGUGAGGGCCUCGGAUUGGUCUCGGCCCGCUCUUUACCGGGCGGCGCCGUUGGUCGAGAAGACGCUCGAACUUGAUCGUUUAGAGGAAGUAAAAGUCGUAACA
rnacentral:rRNA from 1 species